rnacentral:misc_RNA from 1 species
CGCACAUUGCGCCCGCCAGUAUUCUGGCGGGCAUGCCUGUCCGAGCGUCAUUUCAACCCUCAAGCCCCCUCGGGGCGCUUGGUGUUGGGGACCGGCCUCGCGCCGCCCCCGAAAUGCAGUGGCGACCUCGCCGCAGCCUCCCCUGCGUAGUAGCACAACCUCGCACCGGGAGCGCGGAGACGGUCAACGCCGUAAAACGCCCAACUUUCUCAAGAGUUGACCUCGGAUCAGGUAGGAAUACCCGCUGAACUUAA